UACAGAGACCUCAAGCGUUUAUCCGGAAUCAUUGGGCGUAAAGCGUACCGAUAGGUGGUUUAGAAAGUCAGAUGUGAAAUUCCAAGGCUCAACCUUGGGACUGUCAUUUGAAACUUCUAAACUAGAGGGGCAAAGAGGAAGCUGGAACGAACGGUGUAGUAGUGAAAUGCGUUGAUAUCGUUCGGAACACCAAUAGCGAAGGCAGGCUUCUGGGUGCCACCUGACACUGCUAGGACGAAAGCGUGGGGAGCGAAUGGG
rnacentral:rRNA from 1 species